UCGCCAAGGCGGUCGGCAGACUCGCACCAGACGCAAUGGUGAUGGGGUCGACCGGAAUGGCAAUGGGCGAAAUGGAAAUGCCUGCGCCCGACAACACGCUACCGAUGAUGACAGGGACCGGGCAAUUCGGCCCGAUCGAAAUGGGCGGGAUGUUCUCGGUCAUGAAAAUCCGCGAGGGGCUGGCCCGCGACGAUUACAAGGAUCCCGGUCCUUAUGAUUAUCCGAAGGGCACUGUCGCCUACAAGGUCGACGCGCCGCCGGCUGAAGCGCCGCGGCAGAACAAGCCGAAAGAGUCGGCCAAACCGACUGAGAUGAAAGCGAUGAAGGGAAUGAAAGGCAUGAAGGGGAUGUAGGCGGCAACGUGAGGACCGAAGCGUACGAUCAACAAAGGAGCCGAAACAUGAAGAAGUAUCAAACUGGCAUCGCGCUGUUUGCGACGGUGUUCCUGUCAGCGUCUGCCUGGGCGGGAGCGGGACC
rnacentral:misc_RNA from 1 species